rnacentral:rRNA from 1 species
AUGUGGAGAGCAUGAGCCGGGAAAGGAAAGACCGGUGCAAGCGGGACAGUAGCCAUGCAGGCAAAUCCGUGUGGCAAUACGAAGACGUGACGCGGACCGAAAUAAAGUAGGGAAGCAUGUGAGCCAUGUGCCAGGAAAAGCCGCUAUAGAUCAUACCGUACCCGUACCGUAAACCGACACAGGUAGAUGAGGAGAGAAUCCUAAGGCCGACGGGAGAAGCAUUGUUAAGGAACUCGGCAAAAUGACCCCGUAACUUCGGGAGAAGGGGUGCCCACGCGAGUGGGCCGCAGAGAAUAGGCUCAAGCAACUGUUUAGCAAAAACACAGGUCUAUGCGAAACCGAAAGGUGAGGUAUAUGGGCUGACGCCUGCCCGGUGCUGGAAGGUUAAGAGGAGGAGUCAGGCAACGAAGCUCCGAAUUUAAGCCCCAGUAAACGGCGGCCGUAACUAUAACGGUCCUAAGGUAGCGAAAUUCCUUGUCGGGUAAGUUCCGACCCGCACGAAAGGCGUAAUGAUUUGAGCACCGUCUCGACAAUGCACCCGGUGAAAUUGAAGUACCAGUGAAGAUGCUGGUUACCUGCGCCAGGACGGAAAGACCCCAUGGAGCUUUACUCCAGUUUGAUACUGGGAUUCGAUACUGAAUGUACAGGAUAGGUGGGAGGCUGAGAAGCGUGGACGCCAGUCUGCGGUGAGCCGCUGUUGGGAUACCACCCUUUGAGUAUUGGAUUUCUAACCUGCGCCCGUGACCCGGGCGGGGGACAAUGUCUGACGGGGAGUUUGACUGGGGCGGUCGCCUCCGAAAGGGUAUCGGAGGCGCUCAAAGGUUCCCUCAGAAUGGUUGGAAACCAUUCGCAGAGUGCAAAGGCAGAAGGGAGCUUGACUGUGACACCGACGGGUGGAGCAGGUACGAAAGUAGGACUUAGUGAUCCGGUGGUAUGAAAGUGGGAUUGCCAUCGCUCAACGGAUAAAAGCUACCCUGGGAUAACAGGCUUAUCACUCCCAAGAGUUCACAUCGACGGAGUGGUUUGGCACCUCGAUGUCGGCUCAUCGCAUCCUGGGGCUGUAGCAGGUCCCAAGGGUUGGGCUGUUCGCCCAUUAAAGCGGUACGCGAGCUGGGUUCAGAACGUCGUGAGACAGUUCGGUCCCUAUCCGGCGCAGGCGUAGGAUAUUUGAGAGGAGCUGUCCUUAGUACGAGAGGACCGGGAUGGACAGACCGCUGGUGUAUCUGUUGGUGACCAACACCAUGGCAGAGUAGCCAAGUCUGGCAGGGAUAAACGCUGAAGGCAUCUAAGCGUGAAGCCCCCCUCAAGAUGAGAUAUCCCAAUAAGUAAGACCCCUUAGAGAGUAUGAGGUAGAUAGGCUUAAGGUGUAAGCAUAGUAAUAUGUUCAGCUGAUAAGUACUAAUAGGUCGAGGGCUUAUC